rnacentral:lncRNA from 1 species
GCCUUUUGAAUUUUUCAUCUGAAUAAUGCGAAAUUGAUUCCCCCCCGAUUUAUAUUUUUAAAAAUUCAAGAUUUUUCUAUUAUUCAUGUCUGCAGCCAGUCUCAUCAUUAGAUUAGCAAGGUCGGUAGUAGUCUUUCGAAUAGUAUUCGCUUAGCGGUGUAACUGAUGAAGCGUUAAUACAUGUCUGUCGUACUUAAUACAGUAAUACCCCGACUGACGUAAAUUCGGAGAUGCAUAACUUUUCAUCCUGCCCCCUCGCCACUUGUUUGUUUUACAAUUGCAUAAUGCAUAUAUAUGUGUGUAUCAGGCCGGUUCAGCAUACGAUCGAGAGGAGCCCCCGCUCAGGGCGCCGAUGUUUAAGGGGCGCCAAGGGGCACUGGCGCAUUUUGUAUUUUAUUAUUAUUAUUAUUAUUAUUAUUGUAGUAAGACAAUUAUUUUUUGCACAUAAUUUAAAUAGUGAGCAGAC